AUGAAGAGAACUGUUCAUACUUUAUUCAUUUUCUUCUGGCUGCAGAUGAACUGGGAGAGCCUAGGUGAGCAGGUGGAACAGCAUCCUUCCACCCUGAGUGUCCAGGAGGGAUCCAGCGCUGUCAUCAACUGCACUUACACAGGCAGUGCCUCAGCCUGCUUCCCUUGGUAUAAGCAAGAGCCUGGGAAGCAUCCUCAGUUCAUCAUUGACAUCCGGUCAAAUUCAGAAAGAAAGCAGGAGCAAAGACUCACCCUUCUGUUGGAUAAGAAAGCCAAACACCUUUCUCUGCACAUCACAGCCACUCAGCCUGCAGAUUCAGCCAUCUAG